UUGCAGAGUAUGAUGACACUCCAUCCACGGGUUCUACUUUGAAGUCAACUCUCAUGUCAGAUCUCCUCAAAAGAAGCACUUCAUUUCGUUGGAGUAAGAAGAGCCAGAGUAGUUUCAAAUCAUUUAAAAAGAAACUUCAAGAAGCAACAUUUGAAAUGAGGAACUCUGUGUGUCCGUGACAGAUUUCGAGAAGCUCAAAUAUGGUGGCAGCCAACCCUAGAGUUUGAUUAUUGCAUAGUUCGUGGAAAUUGGAUGCAGCAACCAAAGGGGAAAGUACAUGGUUUCUUGAAGGCACCAUUCUACUAAUUUAAUAACAUUUUGCAGCAAAGACAAUAUGAUGUAACAAUCUUUUCGUUUAUAUAUAUAUAUAUAUAUGAGAUAGCAAAUUAGCAAUCUGAAAAAAUCUAUAAUAAAUUAUUA